GACGAACGCUGGCAGCGUGCUUAACACAUGCAAGUCGAACGCUGAAGCCCUUCGGGGUGGAUGAGUGGCGAACGGGUGAGUAACACGUGGGUAAUCUGCCCUGCACUCUGGGAUAAGCCUUGGAAACGGGGUCUAAUACCGGAUAGGACACAUCGCCGCAUGGUGUGUGUGUGGAAAGUUCCGGCGGUGCAGGUUGAGCCAGCGGCCUAUCAGCUUGUUGGUGGGGUGAUGGCCUACCAAGGCGACGACGGGUAGCCGGCCUGAGAGGGUGACCGGCCACACUGGGAGUGAGACACGGCCAAGACUCCUACGGGAGGCAGCAGGGGGGAAUCUUGCGAAAUGGGCGAAAGCCUGACGCAGCAACGCCGCGUGGGGGAUGACGGCCUUCGGGUUGUAAACCUCUUUCGACCGGGACGAAGGAUUCGUUUGACGGUACCGGUAGAAGAAGCACCGGCUAACUACGUGCCAGCCGCCGCCGUAA
rnacentral:rRNA from 1 species